UCGUGUUAUUAUAUUUUAUUGCAUUCGCGGUGUGAUUACCCGAAAAAUUACUUAUCUAGAGCGCUAAUUCAUACAUUAAUAGUUUGCUGUCAAAACAGUCAUAUGUUGUUGUCUCGUUUUCGCUCAUGCAAUAAAGCAUUGUAUUUCAUAUGGAGUAGGAUUCUCGCUGUCGCUCGAGGAUCCUACUCCAUAUGAAAUAAAGUACUAUAACAUGUUCCAGCACUGUAAAUUUCGUUUCUUUUUUCGG